GAUGAACGCUGGCGGCGUGCUUAACACAUGCAAGUCGAACGGUGAAGGCGGAGCUUGCUCUGCUGGAUCAGUGGCGAACGGGUGAGUAACACGUGAGCAAUCUGCCCCUGACUCUGGGAUAAGCGCUGGAAACGGCGUCUAAUACUGGAUACGAGCUGCGAAGGCAUCUUCAGCAGCUGGAAAGAACUUCGGUCAGGGAUGAGCUCGCGGCCUAUCAGCUUGUUGGUGAGGUAACGGCUCACCAAGGCGUCGACGGGUAGCCGGCCUGAGAGGGUGACCGGCCACACUGGGACUGAGACACGGCCCAGACUCCUACGGGAGGCAGCAGUGGGGAAUAUUGCACAAUGGGCGAAAGCCUGAUGCAGCAACGCCGCGUGAGGGACGACGGCCUUCGGGUUGUAAACCUCUUUUAGCAGGGAAGAAGCGAAAGUGACGGUACCUGCAGAAAAGGCGCCGGCUAACUACGUG
rnacentral:rRNA from 1 species